GGGCGCAUAGCUCAGCUGGUUAGAGCGCGUCACUGAUAAUGACGAGGUCCAUGGUUCGAAUCCAUGUGCGCCCACCA
rnacentral:tRNA from 1 species